CAUGAUUGCUACAACAAGUUACGACACUGUCACGUUCAAAUAAGGGAUAAAAUCUUAAAAGUGGAAGAUGUUUGUUACAGAAAGCUUCACUAAAACACUUUGAAAUCCUACUCCGAGGCACACAGACAGUUCUCAGGGUGAGUGCUGCGCCUGUGCUGAAGUGUCCCAUUGAGCUUGCUGAAGUGGACUUAUCUCCGACCAUCCCUCCUUGCAUCUCACUCUUCCCUGGAUCUAGACAGGGCUGAAGCGCCACACUCACCCUGCUCUCUUCACACCAGAGAGGCCUCUCUCUUCUUCUGGGCUCUGUCUCACACUUUACAGCCCCUCAACCACACAUCCUCCUUGCAGUUGGCAGAGUGCUGCUUGAUACUCAAGGCUGUGGAUUCCACUGGGAAGGUGAGAAAGAAGGGGGAGGAUGGACGAAGGGAUGAAGAGAGAGGUGGACAAAGGGAUGAGCAGGGAUGAGGAAGAACUGGACAGAGCUUCUGAGUUAUGAAGGUGUGGAUAUCAAUAGUCUUUGCCUGAGAGCGUUUCAUCCAUCAAUCAGCCAAUCAGAAAUGUCAUAACUGACUAGUGAAUUGUGUAAAGGUUGAUCAACACUUCCUCUGACCAUGGGGUUGUGUAUCUGUGUUUGUGUAUGUGUAUGUGUGUGUUGACAGAGACUGAUAGAGGUCAGGUGGUCACAGAACGACCAUGUCCCCAGGGUAUAAGGAUAUUAGCUUCCACAGACAUCACAGGGGAGGCCUGCUGUGUUAUCUGACUACCAAUGCACACACACUGACAUUCACACACACACACAGACACACUAGUCAUGCAUUAACAUAUACACAACACACACAUAACACCCUUAAAACAUAACACAGUCGGGGCAAUCCAUCAACAUCCACGAGAAACUGCUUUUCUGCAUCUUUCAGUCCAGUCCACCUUCUUCUCUCCUUUUG